GCUGCGGCCGCAGACGGAGAAGGCGGCGGCGGAGGCACCGACUCGAGCUUGACCAGGGUCAGCGAGAUGAGCACGGCUGUCUGCGAAGGCGGUGCAAAAUCCAGGACUGGAUUUCCCUCCCAAAUCCUGGGCUGGAUUUCCUGGAACUUGGACUCACCUACUCCAACACUCCAGCACCCUCCCCUAGCACACCCCGGUCAGGGAGCGCUACUGUUGGGUGUGACAUUUAGGCGCGAGAGUAAAGAUCGGUGUAUGGGUGGACGAUCCUCGGAGAAAACGGAGCAAAUGCGGGUUCACUGCCAACUCUAGGGAAGCUGAUGUGGGAAAGUGGGGAGCCCUGAAAUCCCUUUCCCAGGACCCCUUGUUUCCCCCAGCUGGAGAACAAGAGGUCACUGAUCCAUCAUGGGUCCUGGGAAUGACCACAUUAUCCAGUCCCAGAACCUCCUGCCCCAAACUGCUUCCUGCCCCGGACUCCCCAGGCAGGGUCCAAGUCUACCAUGGGUCUGUCACGGCCUGUCUUCCCCAUGCUCACCCACUUCUCCAUUGCCAAGGUCA